rnacentral:rRNA from 1 species
UCUGCCCGCUGGCGGCGUGCCUAAUACAUGCAAGUCGAGCGAACAGACGAGGAGCUUGCUCCACUGACGUUAGCGGCGGACGGGUGAGUAACACGUGGAUAACCUACCUAUAAGACUGGGAUAAAUUCGGGAAACCGGAGCUAAUACCGGAUAAUAUAUUGAACCGCAUGGUUCAAUAGUGAAAGACGGUUUUGCUGUCACUUAUAGAUGGAUCCGCGCCGCAUUAGCUAGUUGGUAAGGUAACGGCUUACCAAGGCAACGAUGCGUAGCCGACCUGAGAGGGUGAUCGGCCACACUGGAACUGAGACACGGUCCAGACUCCUACGGGAGGCAGCAGUAGGGAAUCUUCCGCAAUGGGCGAAAGCCUGACGGAGCAACGCCGCGUGAGUGAUGAAGGUCUUCGGAUCGUAAAACUCUGUUAUUAGGGAAGAACAAAUGUGUAAGUAACUAUGCACGUCUUGACGGUACCUAAUCAGAAAGCCACGGCUAACUACGUG